rnacentral:lncRNA from 1 species
GCCAAAUCAUCAUGAUAUAAUUGACACCAACUUCUUAUAUGAGUUCAUGCAUAAAUAACCAUGUGAUUAUACGAGUGUCGAACAAAAUACAAAAAAAUAUUUAGAGUAUUGCAUUUCGACGUGUUUUCGUAUGACGAGUCUCCCAUAUUUAGACAACUCUUAAUGCUUUUAUGCGUUGUGUGAGUGAAAACUAGGGUUAUUUUAAAGAGUGACUCGUUAGAAUGAAAAGUAGCGGGAAAUUUUCCGCCCUCACAAUUAAGUGAAUGUCUCUAUUUUCUUUCUUCUCAGACAACAUAAAAUAUGCAAUUUAUGUUGUCUGAUUUGUAAAAUGGAUAGGGAAAAAUUAAGGCUGAGAUGUAGCAGCGGGAAAUCUCCCGCUCUUGCAAUUUAAGGAUGUCAUUUCUUCUCAGACAACAAAAUAUACAAUUUAUGUUGUCUGAUUUGUAAAAUGGAUAGGGAAAAAAUUAAAGGCUGAGAUAUAGCAGCGGGAAAUCUCCCGCUCUUGCAAUUUAAGGAUGUCAUUUCUCAGACAACCAAAAUUUAGAGUUAUGUUGUAUGAUCUGAAAAACACUUGACUCAAAAACCUAAAGGACUUGACACUUAGACAAAAAAAAGGUAUAGCUCAAAACCUAUCGCUCAUACACACUUAAUUUCACACACACACACACACACUCACUCACCGUUCUCACCUAUCAUAUAUUGCGCACGAGUGCGUCACCUACAUGAAGUUGUAUUUAGGAGCGUUGAAGAAAACUCCGCAAACCAUACCGGUAGAUGUACCGAAGUUCAAUCUUUUCAUACUCUCCAGUGAUGUUGAAGUUUAUGGAAUUUUGCCAUACUCCUACAAGUUGCAACCACAUGAGCUAGUCAUUGCCCCCUGGUGGGUAUUGAUUAACUGUCCAGAAGUUGAAUACUGAAAAGACAUCCAUCUACAUUGUCCAGGCAUUCAAGGUGAUCUCGAGUAUCACAACAGGGAGUUCGCAAAUUAUUUUGG